rnacentral:tRNA from 1 species
GCCUUUAGCUGACCGGUAACGCGUUCGCCUAAGAAGCGAGAGGCCCGGGUUCAAAUCUCACCUCAGGCA